CUGUGUUUGGUAAAUAUAUUAGUUUUUAGCCUCGUUCUGAAUGGUUCUAUUUUUAAUUCUUGAUUUUCAUUGGUCGUGGCAUCGUUUCCGCCUAAGCUGAGUUUUAGUUCAAGUUUUUGGAGGGGUCUAGAUGUGUUUGACAUCUUUUGGAAGUUUUAGUUUUGUUUCUGUUGAAAAGGUUAAGUGUAUUGUCAAAUGGAUUAAUUGUAUAGAGUUUUACUGAUAGUCACAGUGUGAGGAGGCGGUUGAGAGAGUUUAUGCAGGUGUUAUUUAUAAUUGUGGACAGUGCCAUACACUGGUCACCUUGUUGUUAAUCACCUUGUAUCAUACGUUUGGAGAGGAGUAGUUUGUGAAGUGGAAUGGACAUGAUCAUGAUAUAAAAUAUGUGUAACAUAUCAGGUGUUUUAUAUAUACAGUAUAAUAAUAUUAAGUAGAACUG